GACUCCGUGGCGCAACGGUAGCGCGUUCGAUUCCAGCAAUCCCACCGCGAGCGAUCGAAAGGCUGCGUGUUCAAAUCACGUCGGGGUCA